CGUGUGUUUUUUUAUUAUGUGGUUUUAAAAACAUAGUGGAAACAUUUCGUCUAAAUUACAUACAUAGAAUUUAUAUAUACCUUUACAGGGGUAAAACAUAUGUCACUAGAUAUGGUGAGAUAUAAAUGAUAUAACUUAGAUAGGUUUGAAGAAACAUUCUGCCAAGACCGCUAAACUCACCAGAGAAGUCCACUAUGCUGCUUUUCAUGGUUAUUCCUCUUUUAUUUAUUGCCAAGUGGCUGCGGUCAUGCUGGUGCACCACCGUUAUAUAUAAUGAUUCACUAUACAGGGCAUUUAUUGAUUAUAAAAAGGCCUUCGAAUUCGUCUGACGUUUCUCAUUGUAAGAGGUAUAACGGUUGACGGGCAUUAAGAAUUCAACGGUGGAUGAUAAUGGAAUGCAAGCUAACGGAUAGGUAUAUAGCAAGAGAAAAAGAAAAGAUGUUGGGAAAUAUUAUAUUUCAUCCAUAUACUUUAAACUCCAUUCUGUAGAAAUGAUGUGGAGGGCCAUGGCAGGUGUUUUUACUUGGAUCAAUAUAUCAUAUUAAAGACUGUGAUUAAAUGAACUUUGUGAUAGUGAUGGUAAACUACUUAUUUAUAUGUCACCAGCUUAACUCUGUAGAUAUAUUGAAAAAUGUUUAUUCUUUUGUGGGCUAAAGAUUUAGCUCUAUUGGCAAAAAAAAAAAGAAAUAGAAAAGGAUCAAUAUUAUGACAGCCAAUUGGGAACCGGAGAAGCUUACAAAGACAAAGGAUCAAUUUAUCUCGGCUUGAUGAGUUCAAAACUUUAGCCUUAACGUGCUGAACAAACGGCAAAUUGGAGCCACGAAAUCAAAGAUAUCAUGUAGAAAAAUAGGUCGUUGAUGAUAAUCAAUAAAUAUCUACAGAUUCUGCUGUCAGCCACAUCCAGAAUGUUUGUGUAUUGCAAAUACAAAGAUGAACAAAGCUGUCAUAAAUUUCCUGAAAUUUUUCGGUGACCAAUCAAAAACUCACGUGACGCUGUCGCUGAAGAUUGCGAAGAGUUGGCAUGGAAGCAUUGCCCUUACUCUUAUAACAUGACUUAUAAAGAGGACCCUCAUUGCUGGGCUUACACUAGUUUUUACGAGUGCUUUCGAAGAAUUGACGAAUAUUGCACUAAAUACUUUAAGUUCAAAAAUUACAAUAUAUGUGGGUUUUUAGUUGGAAACUCCAGCCAACGCAAUCAGGUGGUGUUCCAGUCUGUAUUGUUCUCUGUUGCAGCAGCUAUAAGACUAAUACAAAUUUCAAUAAAUCUGAUGUUAAUCUAAUUGUGUAGCUGUAAUGGAUAAAUGUGAUCAUUAUGGAAAGCAUCAUUGCGGUGGGUUGGUUCGACCAUAUACUAUGAUUGACCCGAGCUGCCGUGUUUAUACUGCAGGGGCUACAGGAAGUUUAUACAAUGCACCAAUGGAAAGAUAUUUCGGUGUUAUGCAUUUUUUAAGUCCAAUGCAGAGUGUGUGGUUAUGAAGGCCACACAAUAUAUAUUCACUAAAUCCUAAUGCUAUUCAAAUGUUGUGUAGGAUACAGUUAUCUACCGCACUGAUGAGAAUAAUUGUCAGGGAUGCUCUACACGUUAUUCUCUACUCCAGGAGUGUUUAUAUUAUUUACGCCAUUUCAAAUAAAUACAAAAACAUUUAUUGUAA